GAUGAAGAACGCAGCGAAAUGCGAUAAGUAGUGUGAAUUGCAGAAUUCAGUGAAUCAUCGAAUCUUUGAACACACAUUGCGCCCUUUGGUAUUCCUUAGGGCAUGCCUGUUCGAGCGUCAUUUAAACCUUCAAGCUCAGCUUGGUGUUGGGUGACUGUCCGCUUCACCGCGGACUCGCCUCAAAAUUAUUGGCGGCCGGUACAUUGGCUUCGAGCGCAGCAGAAACGCGAACUCGGGCCCGUCGUAUUGGCUCCCAGAAGCUAUCUUCACAAUUUUGACCUCGGAUCAGGUAGGGAUACCCGCUGAACUUAAGCAUAUCAAUAAGCGGAGGA
rnacentral:misc_RNA from 1 species